AUACCUAGGUCCAGCAUAGGAAGAUCUAUGAUACCUGCAUCCUUUGAAAUGGCUCAUCCCAAAGAGAGGAAAGAGGAGGGUUUCCUGCUUAUCUGUCCAUAAAUGCUGGAUGGCACCUCACUCCAGAGCUGGGCACAACAGAAAAGCAAUUCCUGUUUGGUGCAGAGUCCAGGGAUCCAUGGAUGCCAUGAAAUGGAAGAGGAAACAUGUUUCACUGAACUAUAAGCCUGAAAAAUAUAACUUUCCAGAUGAAGUGUCCUUUCUGGGUGCUCAGAGAUUUGAAGAAUUUGAAUCCCAAUUAAUGGAAGUACUACAAUCUAGAGAGUAAAAAUCAUUGCAGAAGUGCAAUGGUGUUGAAAUUAUUGAUCAUCUCUUUC